rnacentral:rRNA from 1 species
UGGGGAAUAUUUGACAAUCGGCGAAAGCCUGAUCCAGCCAUGCCGCGUGUGUGAAGAAGGUCUUCGGAUUGUAAAGCACUUCAAGUUGGGAGGAAGGGCAGUAAGCGAAUACCUUGCUGUUUUGACGUUACCGACAGAAUAAGCACCGGCUAACUCUGUGCCAGCAGCCUCGGUAAUACAGAGGGUGCAAGCGUUAAUCGGAAUUACUGGGCGUAAAGCGCGCGUAGGUGGUUCGUUAAGUUGAAUGUGAAAGCCCCGGGCUCAACCUGGGAACUGCAUCCAAAACUGGCGAGCUAGAGUAGGGCAGAGGGUGGUGGAAUUUCCUGUGUAGCGGUGAAAUGCGUAGAUAUAGGAAGGAACACCAGUGGCGAAGGCGACCACCUGGGCUCAUACUGACACUGAGGUGCGAAAGCGUGGGGAGCAAACAGG